GCUUACGGCCCACACCGGCCUGAGUACGCCUGAUCUCGUCACGAUCUCGGAAGCUAAGCAGGGUCGGGCCUGGUUAGUACUGGAUGGGAGACCGCCUGGGCAAUACCAGGUGCUGUAAGCU
rnacentral:rRNA from 1 species